AGGGAGGCGAACCCGGGGAACUGAAACAUCUAAGUACCCGGAGGAAAGGAAAUCAAUUGAUACUCCCCUAGUAGCGGCGAGCGAACGGGGACCAGCCGAGCCAUGAGUGUGGUUAGAAUGCGUUGGAAUGCGCAACCAGAGUGGGUGAUAGUCCCGUAUAAGAAGCAUGAUUGGACGUAUUAAGUAGGGCGGAACACGUGAAAUUCUGUCUGAAGAUCGGAGGACCACCUUCGAAGGCUAAGUACUCCUUACUGACCGAUAGUGAACCAGUACCGUGAGGGAAAGGUGAAAAGCACCCCGACGAGGGGAGUGAAAGAGACCCUGAAACCGAAUGCUUACAAUCAGUCGGAGCCCGCAAGGGUGACGGCGUACCUUUUGCAUAAUGGGUCAGCGAGUUGGUCUGUGCAGCGAGCUUAAGCCGGUAGGCGUAGGCGCAGCGAAAGCGAGUCUGAACAGGGCGUUCAGUUCGUCGGACUAGACCCGAAACCGAGUGAUCUAGCCAUGAGCAGGCUGAAGGUUGGGUAACACCAACUGAAGGGCCGAACCCGUAUCUGUUGCAAUAGAUUGGGAUGACUUGUGGCUAGGGGUGAAAGGCCAAUCAAACUCGGAAAUAGCUGGUUCUCCGCGAAAUCUAUUUAGGUAGAGCGUUGGACGAAUACUCCUGGGGGUAGAGCACUGGAUGGGCUAUGGGGACCCACAGUCUUACUGAUCCUAACCAAACUCCGAAUACCG
rnacentral:rRNA from 1 species